rnacentral:tRNA from 1 species
GGACCGGUGGCAGAGCCGGGUUAUUGCAGCGCCCAAAGGUCGAUAGCGCGCACGCGCGCUGGCCUUGCAGGCGCGUGGGGCCGCUGGCGUGCCACGCCCCACCAGGGGUUCAAAUCCCCUCCGGUCCG